rnacentral:rRNA from 1 species
CUCGCAGGCUGCUUGAACAGUUAGACGUGAAAUCCCCGGGCUUAACCUGGGAACUGCGUUUAAUACUAGCAAGCUAGAGAAAUAGAGAGGAAAGUGGAACUCCCAGUGUAGAGGUGAAAUUCGUAGAUAUUGGGAAGAACACCAGUGGCGAAAGCGACUUUCUGGCUAUUUUCUGACGCUGAGGAGCGAAAGCGUGGGGAGCAAACAGGAUUAGAUACCCUGGUAGUC